AAAACCAGUUCUUGUCUGAUCACCAAAGUUAAGCAACGUGGAGCCUGUUCUAUACCAAGAUGGGUGAUCUCUUGGGAAUACCAGGUUCUGUAAG